AGCUUUGCACAGGGGCAGUAUUGUAGCCAAUGAGGUUUAUCCGAGGCAUGAUUAUUGCUAAUUGAAAACUUUUCUCAAUCCCCCGCCAUGACAACUUGCAAUAUAGUCGGCAUUGACAAUAUUUGACAGUCUCUAUAGCGA
ensembl:snRNA U4 U4 spliceosomal RNA